AGAAGGAGUCUUACUCUGUCACCCAGGCUGGAGCACAGUAGUGCAAACAUGACUCACUGCAGCCUUGAACUCCUGGGCUCAAGCGACCUUGUCACCUUAGCCACUGUGACCAGCCUUCUUUUCCCUUUUGACUUUGUUAUAUCACACUGACUCUAGAAAUGUGGUUCUUUAUUGGGGCGAUUUUGCCCUCCCCCGGGGACAUCUGACAAGGUCUGGAGACAUUUUGAUUGUGGGUAGGGGGAGGGACACUCUGCUACAGGCAUCUAGUUGGCAGAGCCCAGAGAUACCGCUACACACCCUACACUGUGCAGAACAGCCCCUACGGCCAGGAAUUAUCAGGCCCAAACAAAAUACCAAGUUAGUUUUUAAUUUCAAAGUUUACGCGUAACAUUAUUUUUUAGAUAUAAAAAAUAUUCACACAUUAAUUUGAUCACAAGAAAUUUUAAAGAAAUUUAAACAUUUUCAGAAAAGGCUACUUCAAGGUGUCAUGACAGCUUUGGACCAAACAUUAAUGUUCUAUAUGACUUUGGGCAAGUCAGUCAUGUUUAUUAGACUUAAUAACCCAGGUAACGUUAGCUGUUGGAGGGUUUUUUAAAAAACGUUUUAUUUUGAAAAAACUUCAAACUUAAAGGAAAAAUGGCAAGAAUACUACAAAGACCUAUUUAUUCAGAUACACCAGUUGUCACAAUUUUGCCAUAUUAACUUUAUCUAUUGAUCAAUUUCUCUUUCAGUCUAUUGACCUAUCUAUCUUGAACUAUUUGGGAUUAAGUUGUAGACAUCUGAUCCCCUUACCCUUAAACACUUUACCACGUCUUCCUAAGAAUAAGACCAUUACUCCACACAGUACACUUAUCUAAAUCAGGAGACAGCAUUGUUAUAAUACUGUUACCAAGUGGCAAGCUGGUGCACUGUCCAGACAGGGAGAGAGGGAGAGAGGACCUGAUUUGUAACAUUUGCCAGUUCCCAUGUGUGAUGGUUUACUUUGGUUCAUAACUACCAUUGUCCUUGUUACAGUCUUUUAUUAAAAUGUGGGGUGUGUUAGGCCGCAAGGGCAGGCCUCAAGAAACAGAAUCUCUCUCCUGCCCUCCUUUCACCUGCCCCAAGGCAGGAUUCCAUCUUCUCCCACCUUUCCAACUGUGGGUCUUAAGACUUUUCAGAGAGGGUCCUGCCAUACACACUGGGGGAAGGAAUGCUGACGUCAUGAAGCUUCCAUGAAAACUCAAGAGGACUGAGUUCAGAGAGCUUCCGGAUAGCUGAAAACAUGGAGGUUCCUGGUUCCUGGAGGGUGGCGCCCCAGGCAUGGAAGCUCUGAGCCCCUUCCUCCGCACCUCAUCUCUUCAUCUGUAUCCUUUGUAAUAUCCUUUAUUAUAAAACAGCAAAUGUGUUUCCCUGAGUUCUGUGAGCCACUCCAGCAAAUCAAUCAAACCCAAAGAGGGGGUCAUGGGAACCCCAACUUGAAGCUCAAUCAGAAUUUCCCAAGGCCCAGAUUUGCAACUGAUAUCUGGGGGUGAGGGUGGUCUUGGGGUCUGAGCCCUCAAUCUGUGGGAUCUGAUGCUACCUCCAGAUAGAUAGUGAAGGAACUGGGUGGAGGUCCUGGCUUGUGUCUGCCUCUUGGUGGUGGGGAGAAGUUCCCACACAUAUGGUCACAGGAGUCUUCUGUGUUGAUGAUUGCUGUUGUGGUGUGAGAGCAGAGGAAAAACACAGUUUGAGAGAGUUUUCCCAAAAUACCAUGAAAUGAAGAGAGAAAGAAACACGAGCAAAUAAACAGAACUGAUAAUGCAUUAAAAGAAAAGAUGAAAAAAUAUGAGGCUAUAAAAGAGACGUGUGGUACAGGAUAACGGUCACCCAAAGAUGUCCCCAUCCUAAUCUCCAGAACCUGUGCCUGUGUCACCUGACAUGGCAAAGUGACAGCAAAUGUGACUACCUUAUGGAUCUCAAGAGAGAAGCCUGAUCCUGGAUCAUCUGGCUGAGUCCAGCCUAAUUGCAUGGGUCCUUAACAGUGGAGAGUCGACUGCAGUGGUAUGAAGGAAAUGCAGCUAUGGAAGAAACGGUCUGAGAAAUGGUACAUUGCUGGCUUUGUGGAUGGAGGAAAGUGGUCAUGAGCCAAGGGAUGUGUACUACCUCUAGAAGCUGGAAAAGGGAAGAAAACAGAUUUGCCCUAAAGCCUCCAGAAUGAAAUCCAGACCUACUGACACCCUGGUUUUAGCUCAGUGAGACCCAUGGUGGGCUUCUGAAGGCAAAAUUGUAAGAUAAUAAAUGUGUUAAGACACUAAAUUUAUGGUGAUAUGCUACACAGUGGUAGAAAAUUAGUACAAGAUGAAAAAGAUUUAAAAGGAAAUGACAGAUAUACAUAUAUAGGAAACAGGCAAGGAAGACCCUGUACACAUGGGUACACGUGCAUGCGCACACACACACAGAUAUAUUAGUUCCUAAAGAAAUAAAAUCAGCCAGGCGCGGUGGCUCACGCCUGUAAUCCCAGCACUUUGGGAGGCUGAGACAGGUGGAUCACCUGAGGUCAGGAGUUCAAGACCAGCCUCAACAUGGAGAAACCCUGUCUCUACUAAAAACACAAAAUUAGCUGGGCGUGGUGGUGCAGGCCUGUAAUCCCAGCUACUCAGGAGGCUGAGGCAGGAGACUUGCUUGAACCUGGGAGGCGGAGGUUGCAGUGAGCCGAGAUCGUGCCAUUGCACUCCAUCCUGGGCAACAAGAGUGAAACUCCGUCUCAAAAAAAAAAAAAAAAAAAAGAAAAUCAAAAGGAAUAGAUCCAAACAAACAAGAUGUAUAAUUCAGGAAAGGUUUCCUGAAAUAAGCAUAUACUUGAAACGACAUAUUGAAAGAUUAUCUAAACACCUUGGAAAAUGGAGUCCAAAUAUCCAAUACCAAGACAUUCUAGUAAAAUUAUUGGAAGAGAAAGGAAAGAAGGAAGAAGGGGAAAGAAGGAAGAAGGGGAAAGAGGGAAGAAAUAAAAUUUCUUGGGGUUCCUUUCCCCACCAAAAGAAGAUGCACUGACAUUUUGAAAGAAAAUUAGUUUGACAUCAGAUUUUUCAACAGCAAUGCCUUAUGUCAGAACAAAAUGGAGUUACAUAUUCAGGCCAAGUGUGGUGGCGCACACCUGUAAUCCCAGCACUUUGGGAGGCUGAGGCGGGUGAAUCGCUUGAGCCCAGGAGUUCAAGAGCAUCCAGGGCAAUGUGGCAAAACCCCGUCUCUUCAAAAAAUUAGCCAGGCAUGGUGGCAUGCACCUGUAGUUCCAGCUAUUGAGGAGGCUGAGCUGAAAGGAUCGUUUGAGCCCAGGAGGUUGAGGCUGCAGGGAGCUAUGAUCUGCACUCCAGCCUGAGUAACAAAGUGAGACUCUGUCUCAAAAAAAAUAAAAAAAAUAAAAUAAAAUGAAAAAAGAUACUCGAGGAAAGUAAAGAUAAGCCAAAAUAAUUUUCAAGUAUAAAAGCAGCAAAGUGUUACCAAAAUGCAAAGACUCAGGAAAUACAGUUACCAUAAGCUAUUCCUAAGGAAUCUACUAGUGAACAAGUUUCAAACAGUCACAAUGACUGCAGAGACAUUGACGUAAAGACAGAUGGCAAAUAUUAAGUGGGUGGGUAGGUAGAUACAGCUGUAGAUAUGGCCAGCUGUUUGCUGGAGGCAAUUUGGACAAGCUUAUGAGAGCCAAUGAACUUUUCAAGAAUUUUAUGAGUUGGUUAUUAAACAUAGACAUUAUGAACAGUUAAAGUAUAUACAUGUACGUACAUUUAAAUAAAUUAAAAACAGUAAACACUAAAAACACAUCGCUUCAUAAUUAUGUUACUACAUUUUACAAUUAUCUAUGCUUUUGAGGUUAUUUACAUUGAUUGUAUCAAAUGGUGGAGAUAGGGUCAGCUUCUGCACAUCUUUUCCCGAACUCCACAUUUAAUGAUGUCACCUUGAUAGCUCACCAAUGGUGAAAGUAUUUACUCCAUGGAAAGCUGCAAAAUGCUAUGAAUCAGGGCUUUUUCCCCCUUUUUCUGGAGAGUCUCUUGUUAAACAUUUCCUAGCACAUCAAUGGAUUCAAAAAAGAGAAGCUAGUAUGCAACAGAUCCAUGACUUGACAAUGUAGAUACACCACCACUCUGAAGACAUAUGAGGAGGGCACUGGGAGAGCGUAUGAAAAAUGUCUUUUUAGCCUUUCAGUAAUCAUUUUGGGUGAUAGUGAUGUCAUCGUUAUUCUGAGAAUGGAGUGUGUGCAAUGUCAAUUAAAGCAAAUAAAUAAUCAUAUGAUAUAUUUAAUUGUGUUAUCCUCUCUGUUUUGAAAACCAGGAUUUGGCCGUGGAUGGUGGCUCACACUUGUAGUCCCAGCACUUUGGGAGGCUGAGGCAGGUGGAUCACUUGAGGUCAGGAGUUUGAGAUCAGCUGGCCAACAUGGAGAAAACCCCGUGUCUACUAAAAAAUACAAAAAUUAGGCCGGGCACGGUGGCUCACGCCUGUAAUCCCAGCACUUUGGGAGGCCGAGG
rnacentral:lncRNA from 1 species